AGGAAGAUAAUGAGGGGCAAAAUCAUCCCUUCAUUGAGCACUCCCUUUGAUCUGAGAAGGGAUUUCACAUUUGUCCUUGUCCAGCAGUCGGGAGCUCUGUACUCUUGUCUGUCCCAUGCCAGCCUGCUGCUGUCCUGUGGCCAAGGCCAGCAAAGCCCCUUCUUCCUGAAAGCCUCGUCUGCCUGCCUGAGGGGGCUGGGCUGGACCAGGGUCAUCGUGCUGUUUUCCUGUCCCUGCAGCCCAGAGCCUGGGGCUGUAGAAGAUGCUCAGGAGGUGACUAGGGGAGCCAGCUCAGGAUCAGGAGGGUCAACAGUCUGUGUAUGGCAGACACUAACACUGCAGGAGGUAAAGUAGGGGCACCUGUGAACACCCUACUGUCAACCCGUCAACCGCAUCAACCAGGAAUGGCCAGCUCAUCAUUUCCCUACUGGCCUUUCUCUUGUGCUUCACUUCAUCUACACAUGCUAAGGAUGCCCACAAGUUCCUGGGACAGCUUCUAGUCUCUUCUUUUUCCAGUCACAAAGUCUUUGGGGCUAGACCUCCAACAAUGUCUCUAACUGUGACUGGAUUGGCUUAGCCUGAUUCCCAUGCAGCCCCAUCACCGUGUCAUCUGGUCUGCUGGGGUCCUCUGCAGGGGUGCUCUCAGCCCAGACUGUUAUCAACCAGCUCGAUCACUUUACUUCCGAGAUAGUGACGGUGAUGGUGGAAUAGGAACAGCUGGGUGGCAUCAGUGGGGCUGGGGGUGGGGUGGUGGUGGGAGACAGGGAACUGUCUCUCUGUGUAGCAGCAGGGUGACCCAGUAAGUGACCUGAUGGAAGUGGCAACCAGAGUGACUGUGAUUAGCCUGGAAGAUGUGUCUAAGGAAUCACUCCGUUCUCUAUUCCGGCUUCAAGAACGAGCAUCAGGGAGGACCAGAGCAAACAGGAGACCUGGAGACCUGGCGGGAGGUGGGACGUGUGAGCGCCUGAGGAGGCUGACCCAGAACUGUUGCUUGUAGUGCUGCUGGCCAGGAGGGAGGUCCGAUCAACGAGGCAGCUAUUUAAAGAUCUGGCAGAAGAUCCUGGUUCAGAUCUCCAGAGCAGCAUCUGAUGCCGCAGGCCAGGCUGCCCAGUAGGCUCAAAUUAAACGGACCUAGGCAACAAAGCAUCCAUCUUCCCUUUCUUGGACCCUGGCUGUGGGGACCCAGAGGUGUUGCUUCUGCAGACCCCAACGCUGGAAUCUUUUCUAGGCGCUUUUAACAUGCAAAUGGCUCUAGGAAGCAAUAUUAAUUCAAGACUUCUGAAUAGCUGGGAACCAGGGGGAGGGGAAGAGCUGUCGGAGUGGUGCCAGCUUCCUCCAACACAGGGGCAAAGGAUCCAGAAGCACCUCUGGGGUUCCCACCUUCAGCCGCUUCCCCCAAGGAACCAGGUUUUGUAGCACUACUUUGCUUGGAAGCUCCUGAAGGAAUCCUCUCUCGCCCUACUGGAGGACUUGGAACCAAUGUGGUGUCCGUUGUACACAGUUUAUUAGUCUACCACAGCUUCCAUAAGGCUUUAUCGUUGAGCUUUUACCGCUUUUCUGCCUAACCAACCCAGAGAGAACUGGUGCUGGAUGAGGCUACCUGGUUUCUCCUAGAGGAAGCCAGCUGAAGUAAGGAACCCCAAGUCCUCGUGCAUUCCCUAAGGAGGACCAACUGCACAGACCCAGUAGCUUACUCCUUAACCAGCUCUUUGAUCACCUUCCUUCGAUGGGUCCUUCCUGCCCUCUAGGUCUGUUCAAAACUCCUAAUACCUAAAUGGAACACAGACCUGAUCUCUUCCCUUACCCUCCUGAGCACCUUGCAGAACUUGUAAGCAAUCUUUUUUUCCUUUUUCUAAAGGUUUCGUUAACCUGCUUCUGCCUUUGGGAUUAAAGGCUUGUUCUGCCAUGCCAAGCUCAACUGCUUAUUAAAUGAGGCCGUGAAUGCCGUCUGUCCCUUUCAGGACCUCUUCUGCUUUAAAAGUAGCUUUCCUCUCAGUAGUUACUUUCUUUAAAAAUUGCAUGUAUUAUGAACCUGUGUGGCGGUGUCAAGAUGUACUUAGGGAGAGCAAAAGGGCAACUUGAAGGAGCACAUUCUCUCUACCAUGUAGACCAGGCUGACCUCAGACUAAAGAGCCUUCUGCCUUUUCCUUCAGUGCUGGGAUUAAGGGAUGGAGGCCCUCAACCCCACCCUCUUGAGUCAGGGUUCCUGUUCAUAAAUCUAGCUGAUGUUGCCCCAGUCUUGAACUCACAGCAACCAUGCUUUAGCCUUUCUGUGCUGGGAUUAUAGCUGUGUACACCUUAUCGAAACUUCUAAAGAAUCUGUCAGGGUCCUGAACUUGUGGCAGGUAGGAUGCAGGACAAUACCAGGCCACUUUGCAGAUCCAGAAACAUCAAAUAAUUUGAUUAGCUGAGAUACAAGUAAGGCAAUAGACUAUUUAAUGUGGUGUAAAAUACAUCAAUAUCAAGUCCCUGGCUGUUGUGAAUACCAAAAGUAGACUGGGAAGGGGAGAGAGGGG
rnacentral:sRNA from 1 species